UAUGCGGGGAUGUGUAGUGCAUGUAGAUUUUUGAUAUCUGAAGAUAUGGUGGAAGUCCAUACCGUAUAG
rnacentral:tRNA from 1 species